GUGGGGAAUUUUGGGCAAUGGGCGCAAGCCUGAUCCAGCAAUGCCGCGUGCAGGAAGAAGGCCUUCGGGUUGUAAACUGCUUUUGUACGGAACGAAACGGUCCGGGUUAAUACCCUGGGCUAAUGACGGUACCGUAAGAAUAAGCACCGGCUAACUACGUGCCAGCAGCCGCGGUAAUACGUAGGGUGCAAGCGUUAAUCGGAAUUACUAGGCGUAAAGCGUGCGCAGGCGGUUUUGUGAGACAGUGGUGAAAUCCCCGGGCUCAACCUGGGAACUGCCAUGGUGACUGCAAGGCUAGAGUGCGGCAGAGGGGGAUGGAAUUCCGCGUGUAGCAGUGAAAUGCGUAGAUAUGCGGAGGAACACCGAUGGCGAAGGCAAUCCCCUGGGCCUGCACUGACGCUCAUGCACGAAAGCGUGGGGAGCAAACAGGAUUAGAAACCCGGGUAGUCC
rnacentral:rRNA from 1 species